UACGGAGGGGGCAAGUGUUAUCCGGAAUCACUGGGCUUAAAGGGCGCGUAGGCGGCUUAAUAAGUCAGAGGUGAAAGGCUGUGGCUCAACCAUGGGAUUGCCUUUGAUACUGUUAGGCUUGAAUCAGGCUGAGGUUGGCGGAAUGUGGCAUGUAGCGGUGAAAUGCAUAGAUAUGCCAUAGAAUACCGAUGGCGAAGGCAGCUGACUGGUCCUUGAUUGACGCUGAGGCACGAAAGCGUGGGGAGCGAACAGG
rnacentral:rRNA from 1 species